rnacentral:lncRNA from 1 species
GAUUAGUUAUCUGCCCUUGAUACAAGGGCAUUAUGGCAGCAUGUUUACAUCGGCUCCAGUAAAAUGUGAUUUGCAAAUGUUUGCAACUGUUUUUGAGCGGUAAAAUUAUGGUAAAGUGGUUUAAUAAACUUAAAUGGCAUCAAAUCAAGAGCCUGAACAACCAAAGAAAAAGAAAAAACGGAUUAGAAGUAAAAACAAAGAC